UACGUAGGGGCCUAGCGUUGUCCGGAUUUAUUGGGCGUAAAGAGCUCGUAGGCGGCACGGUUAGUCAGGUGUGAAAUCUCCACGCUCAACGUGGAGGGGUCACCUGAUACUGCCGAGCUUGAGUCCGGUAGGGGAGUGUGGAAUUCCCGGUGUAGCGGUGAAAUGCGUAGAUAUCUGGAGGAAUACCGGUGGCGAAGGCGGCAUCCUGGACCGGCAUUGACGCUGAGACGCGAAAGCGUGGGGAGCGAACAGG
rnacentral:rRNA from 1 species